AUACUCACUUUUACAGCUUGCCCAGUGGCAAAUCCGGCUUCUUCCAGCCAGUUACCCUUCAAAUGCAAACUGGGGGACUGGCUGUAAUGGCGGGUCAUGCCGGUAUGUCGGUCAGCAUGACGGGUACUG
rnacentral:sRNA from 1 species